AGCUCUUAAACCUAAUGGGUACUUUCUCACUUAGUCUUUGCGGAUAGAUGGCCUUUGCUUGGGCAGCUCUUAAACCUAAUGGGUACUUUCUCACUUAGUCUUUGCGGAUGGAUGCAAAACCUAUUGCACCUCACUAUCUGAGGAGUCCAAAAACACGUCCAGUUGUCACCAUAGUUUAUAUAGAUGGAACUGAAAGUGUGGGCCUGAUGCGGAUACAGAAGCUGGCUGUUAUUCUUUUUCUUGUUCAGGGGAAUGCUAUCUCAUGCUUGCUAUAUGAAGAGAAAUAAUUUUUCCCAUUAAGUUAAAUAAAUAAAUAGUUUAUCACUUUAUUUUCGGUCAGUCAAUAAGUUCUUUAAUUUACCUUUGGGAAUAUGAUGCCCACCAAGUUGGAUAAUUUGAUUGUAGUUUGGAUUUCUUCAUAGGGUAAUAGUGGAAAGGGUGGAGAGUUCUAGAGUAAAUUUGGAGUUCGUCUCUAUAAACACAGUUGCCUCCAUUGUCUUUAGUGAAUUCAAUUUUUUACAGUCUUCCUCUGUUACAUGAUACUAGUGCAAUUUGCUACACUACGUUAUCUAAAUUAAUUACCCAGUGUUAUGAGUUUUGAAACACCAUUUGCUCCUUGUAUGACUUGACUUUACGAGUGUGACUCCAGUCAACUUUUUGUUUUCUUUAUUUAGUUUGUUCUGAUAAAUUACAAAUUUUGUUCGUGCUCUUAUGUUUAGCAGAAUCAUCUAUGUUUUAAGAAAAUUUAGUGCUUACAUUAAUGAUGUUUUGGGGUUCCAUAAUAUGAGGUAAAGAAGUCGUUUUCAUUAGCUGUGCUGUGCAUUUUGGGUUUGGUAGAGAACAAUAGUUUUGGUCCUUCCUUGAACUGAAUGCAUGGUAUAGAUCUUUUUAUAGGUAAACCAGGCUUGACAUGCCGGUACUAGCCAUUAAAAUACAUGAAUCAAAACUUGAGGUUGUUAACUGUUUUGAGGAUCUUCUUUGAUGAGCUCUCAAACAUAUUAGUAAAGUUCAACUAAUUUCCUUAUUUAGGGAGUAAAUGUUCUGCUUUUCUGUCGCCUCUUCCCCGUUAGCUGACCUCUGUCCUCUAGUGCUACAUUUUUUAAAAUAUCCAUUUUUUGUACAUACAUUCAAUAUAUAUAGGAUUAUAAAAAUAUGUACAUACAUAUUAUUUAUAAUGAUUGAGUUGCAUGCUAUUCUGAUUAUCUUGAUGUUAGCUUAUACUUGUUGUUCGACUUGGUCCUCUAGUGAGCUUAACACUUCCAUCUUACCAGGAAGACCCAAAAAACCGAGUACGAAGGGGUUGUUUGGUAUGUAGGAUGGGACAAACAAAGUUAUUCCAUGAUUGGGGUAUCCCAUGGGAUAAGUUAUUCCACCAUAUAUAUAUGGAUAACCCCAUCAUUGUAGUAUACAUGGUGGGAUAAAUAAUCCCGGGACUAAAUUAAUACCCCUAAGGCCCUAACCAAACGCAAGAUAAAAUCAUUAUGCAUUUUGUCCAGGGAUUAUUAUCCCUUGUACCAAACUACCCCUAAGAAUGAUAAAUGCU
rnacentral:lncRNA from 1 species